GGAAUCUGGUAGAGGGCUGCGCCUGCAUCCAAACAACGAUGGCGAAAGUUUGUUCCAUUAGGCUGAACUCUGCUUAGAUGGCAAGUGCACUGUAAAUACGUAGGACGCCUCUCUGGGUCCUGGGCUUGAGUCAGCGCUAAACCGUCGUAGAAAAACCUGAGUUUGAUAAGUUCUUCCCAGUUACCAGGAGGAGAAGGAAGACCUCAGGAGCUCUGUUUAGAUGCCACGGAUUUGAAAUCUCCUUUAGACAUGGAUGUGUGACGACAACUUGUUAGCUGUACAUUGAAUCUCAUCGUCAAGUAAAAGCUUGAAAGUAAGACCUGUUUUUGGCAAAGAACAUCUGCAAGUGAAAACCAAUGAGAGUCUAUUUAAAAGUCAACAUUACCAAGAUUUACUUGGAGGCUUGUCCUCAAAAUGCAGCUUGUGUGAGCUGUGACU